rnacentral:rRNA from 1 species
AUUGAACGCUGGCGGCAUGCCUUACACAUGCAAGUCGAACGGCAGCAUGGAGAGCUUGCUCUCUGAUGGCGAGUGGCGAACGGGUGAGUAAUGCAUCGGAACGUACCGUGUAAUGGGGGAUAACGUAGCGAAAGUUACGCUAAUACCGCAUACGACCUGAGGGUGAAAGCAGGGGAUCGCAAGACCUUGCGUUAUACGAGCGGCCGAUGUCAGAUUAGCUAGUUGGUGAGGUAAAGGCUCACCAAGGCGACGAUCUGUAGCGGGUCUGAGAGGAUGAUCCGCCACACUGGGACUGAGACACGGCCCGGACUCCUACGGGAGGCAGCAGUGGGGAAUUUUGGACAAGGGGGGAAACCCUGAUCCAGCCAUGCCGCGUGAGUGAAGAAGGCCUUCGGGUUGUAAAGCUCUUUCGGCCGGGAAGAAAUCGCACAGGCUAAUACUCUGUGUGGAUGACGGUACCGGCAUAAGAAGCACCGGCUAACUACGUGCCAGCAGCCGCCGUAA